UUAGAGUUUGAUUCUGGCUCAGGAUGAACGCUAGCGGGAGGCUUAACACAUGCAAGUCGAGGGGCAGCACGAUGUAGCAAUACGUUGGUGGCGACCGGCGCACGGGUGAGUAACACGUAUGCAACCUACCCUGUACAGGGGGAUAACCCGGAGAAAUUCGGACUAAUACCGCAUAAUGAUAUUUGAGGGCAUCCUUAGAUAUUUAAAGCUUCGGUGGUACGGGAUGGGCAUGCGGAACAUUAGCUAGUUGGCAGGGUAAUGGCCUACCAAGGCAAUGAUGUUUAGGGGACCUGAGAGGGUGAUCCCCCACACUGGUACUGAGACACGGACCAGACUCCUACGGGAGGCAGCAGUGAGGAAUAUUGGUCAAUGGGCGGAAGCCUGAACCAGCCAUCCCGCGUGCAGGAAGACGGCCCUAUGGGUUGUAAACUGCUUUUCCAGGGGGCGAAACUUUCCGAUGUAUCGGGAUUUGACGGUACCCUGGGAAUAAGCAUCGGCUAACUCCGUGCCAGCAGCCGCGGUAAUACGGAGGAUGCGAGCGUUAUCCGGAUUUAUUGGGUUUAAAGGGUGCGUAGGCGGAUCGAUAAGUCAGUGGUGAAACCCUGCAGCUUAACUGUAGACUUGCCGUUGAUACUGUUGGUCUUGAGUGUGGUCAAGGUAGGCGGAAUGUGUAAUGUAGCGGUGAAAUGCUUAGAUAUUACACAGAACACCGAUUGCGAAGGCAGCUUACUGGGCCAUUACUGACGCUGAUGCACGAAAGCGUGGGGAUCGAACAGGAUUAGAUACCCUGGUAGUCCACGCCGUAAACGAUGGAUACUAGGUGUAGGGGGUAUCGACCCCCCCUGUGCCGGAGUUAACACAAUAAGUAUCCCGCCUGGGGAGUACGGCCGCAAGGUUGAAACCCAAAGGAAUUGACGGGGGCCCGCACAAGCAGCGGAGCAUGUGGUUUAAUUCGAAGCAACGCGAAGAACCUUACCAAGACUUGACAUCCCCUGACAGCUGUUGAAAGGCAGUUUCCCUUCGGGGCAGGGAGACAGGUGGUGCAUGGUUGUCGUCAGCUCGUGUCGUGAGAUGUUGGGUUAAGUCCCGCAACGAGCGCAACCCUUGUCUUUAAUUGCCAUCAUUCAGUUGGGCACUUUAAAGAGACUGCCGGCGUUAAACCGGAGGAAGGUGGGGAUGACGUCAAGUCCUCAUGGCCUUUAUGCCCAGGGCUACACACGUGCUACAAUGGGUGGUACAAAGAGCAGCCAACUCGCGAGAGUGAGCAAAUCUCAAAAAGCCAUCCUCAGUUCGGAUUGGAGUCUGCAACUCGACUCCAUGAAGUCGGAAUCGCUAGUAAUCGCGGAUCAGCAUGCCGCGGUGAAUACGUUCCCGGGCCUUGCACUCACCGCCCGUCAAG
rnacentral:rRNA from 1 species